AGAGUUUGAUCCUGGCUCAGGAUGAACGCUAGCGGCAGUAAUACAUGCAAGUCGAGGGGCAGCGGGGUAGCAAUACCGCCGGCGACCGGCAAACGGGUGCGGAACACGUACAGAACCUUCCUUUAAGCGGGGAAUAGCCCGGAGAAAUCCGGAUUAAUACCCCAUAGUAAUAUUGAUUGGCAUCAAUUGAUAUUUAAAGAUUUAUCACUUAAAGAUGGCUGUGCGGCUGAUUAGGUAGUUGGUGCGGGUAACGGCCCACCAAGCCAGCGAUCAGUAACUGGUGUGAGAGCACGACCAGUCACACGGGCACUGAGACACGGGCCCGACUCCUACGGGAGGCAGCAGUAAGGAAUAUUGGUCAAUGGACGCAAGUCUGAACCAGCCAUGCCGCGUGAAGGAUGAAGGUCCUCUGGAUUGUAAACUUCUUUUAUCUGGGACGAAACACUCUUAUUCUUAAGAGCUUGACGGUACCAGAGGAAUAAGCACCGGCUAACUCCGUGCCAGCAGCCGCGGUAAUACGGAGGGUGCAAGCGUUAUCCGGAUUCACUGGGUUUAAAGGGUGCGUAGGUGGGAAUGUAAGUCAGUGGUGAAAUCUCCGUGCUUAACAUGGAAACUGCCAUUGAUACUAUGUUUCUUGAAUCUUCCGGAGGUCAGCGGAAUAUGUCAUGUAGCGGUGAAAUGCUUAGAUAUGACAUAGAACACCAAUUGCGAAGGCAGCUGACUACAGGAGCAUUGACACCGAGGCACGAAAGCGUGGGGAUCAAACAGGAUUAGAUACCCUAGUAGUCC
rnacentral:rRNA from 1 species